rnacentral:snoRNA from 1 species
AUUCCAUUGUGCUGACAUUUUCUAAUUAUAUCCUUGAAUCGUUCCCAAGCUUCAAAAACCAUUUCUGUCUCCUUCUGGCAGAAAUUGUGGAUUUUCCUUCUAAACUU